UGGCUCAGGACGAACGCUGGCGGCGCGCCUAACACAUGCAAGUCGAACGGAGCUUAGAGAGCUUGCUUUUUAAGCUUAGUGGCGAACGGUGAGUAACGCGUGAGUAACCUGCCCUAGAGUGGGGGACAACAGUUGGAAACGACUGCUAAUACCGCAUAAGCCCACGGUACCGCAUGGUACUGAGGGAAAAGGAUUUAUUCGCUUUAGGAUGGACUCGCGUCCAAUUAGCUAGUUGGUGAGGUAACGGCCCACCAAGGCGACGAUUGGUAGCCGGACUGAGAGGUUGAACGGCCACAUUGGGACUGAGACACGGCCCAGACUCCUACGGGAGGCAGCAGUGGGGGAUAUUGCACAAUGGGGGAAACCCUGAUGCAGCGACGCCGCGUGGAGGAAGAAGGUCUUCGGAUUGUAAACUCCUGUUGUUGGGGAAGAUAAUGACGGUACCCAACAAGGAAGUGACGGCUAACUACGUG
rnacentral:rRNA from 1 species